rnacentral:rRNA from 1 species
GAUGAACGCUGGCGGCGUGCCUAAUACAUGCAAGUCGAGCGAACAGACGAGGAGCUUGCUCCUCUGACGUUAGCGGCGGAGGGGUGAGUAACACGUGGAUAACCUACCUAUAAGACUGGGAUAACUUCGGGAAACCGGAGCUAAUACCGGAUAAUAUAUUGAACCGCAUGGUUCAAUAGUGAAAGACGGUUUUGCUGUCAUUUAUAGAUGGAUCCGCGCCGCAUUAGCUAGUUGGUAAGGUAACGGCUUACCAAGGCAACAAUACCUAGCCGACCUGAGAGGGUGAUCGACCACACUGGAACUGAGACACAGUCCAGACUCCUACGGGAUGCAUCAGUAUAGCAUCUUCCUCAAUGGUCAAAAGCUUAACGCACCAACGCCUCGUGAGUGAUGAAGGUCUUCUGAUCGUAAAACUCUGUUAUUAGGGAACAACCAAUCUGUAAGUAACUAUUCACGUCUUAACGGUACCUAAUCAGAAAGCCACGGCUAACUACGUG